AUCGUUCCGAACAUCCGCUUCUAAAACGCCGGUCACGACGCUGUGACGGGACAGUCAUGGAGCGUAUGUCGAUGGGUCCCGAGGGAAACCUCCUGGCCUCCCGUAUUUGGAAAGGAAUGUUAUGAAGA
rnacentral:ncRNA from 1 species